rnacentral:rRNA from 1 species
UACGGGUGAGUAAUGCUUAGGAAUCUGCCUAUUAGUGGGGGACAACAUUCCGAAAGGAAUGCUUAAUACCGCAUACGCCCUACGGGGGAAAGCAGGGGAUCUUCGGACCUUGCGCUAAUAGAUGAGCCUAAGUCAGAUUAGCUAGUUGGUGGGGUAAAGGCCUACCAAGGCGACGAUCUGUAGCGGGUCUGAGAGGAUGAUCCGCCACACUGGGACUGAGACACGGCCCAGACUCCUACGGGAGGCAGCAGUGGGGAAUAUUGGACAAUGGGCGCAAGCCUGAUCCAGCCAUGCCGCGUGUGUGAAGAAGGCCUUUUGGUUGUAAAGCACUUUAAGCGAGGAGGAGGCUACUUGGAUUAAUACUCUAGGAUAGGGACGUUACUCGCAGAAUAAGCACCGGCUA